rnacentral:lncRNA from 1 species
UUUCCCAUCUGUCUUUGUGUGUUUAGGAGCUAUGUUGUAUAAGUGGAUGAAGCCUUGUGGGAAGUUGGCUGUCCCAGGAGCCCGGGUGAAGGCCGGGAUGACCUUCCAAACAGGAACGCGAACAGCUGAAGGGCUCUAGUUACACCCAAGAGGUCAUUUUAUUUCAUCUGAAGAUGAAUUCUCUACUUCCUUCCACCACUUUUCUCCCAAAUUUGAAUACUGGGAAACC